rnacentral:misc_RNA from 1 species
ACAGAGGUGAUGGUGAUCAUAAUGUGCAGAAGAUGAGAAGAAUCUCGAAUGUUUCUUGGCUUGCAUCGAAGAGACAAGUUCACAAAACCCUUAAGAAUAGAGUUAAUGGCAAGAUAUGGAAACGGGAAGAGGACGAUGAUGAUGAUGAGUGGUCACUCCCAACAAGAACAAAAAAUUCAUCCAAGAAAGUGAAACUGACUCCUGCUUUUGAAUUCUCGAAAGGCAAUGGAAUUCCAAAGAAGCGGCUGAAUAAGAGAAGUAGUUUUGUAGUUGUAGACUUGGAGGGUGAUUCAGAAGAUGAAGUUUUAGAGCAAGCGUGUAUUAUGAAUAUAAGAGCGCGCAAAAGAGCUAGAACUUCAGAUAGUGAGGCAGUCAAAAGAAAUCACAUGUAUACAAGGCUAGAAAAUGGAGAUUUUGCAAAUGCUUCUUUAGGUACUUCAUCUUCUUCUCCCUCGUCAGCUUCAGAUAUGAAGAGUAAUGGCAGUAGCAGCAGGACACGUGCAAUGAGAAACUUGAAGGCCAAAAUAG